GAAACUGAGAGUCUGACACCUUUGGAUGUCUGACAGAAACCUAUUCUGAGAACUGUUACCUGUGAGGUUUCAUCUGCAUAACAAGACCACCUUUGCUAGCCUUGCCUUUCCUCUUCUCCCUCUCCCAAAACCUGUCUUGCCAUGUUCCAUGCCUCUUUUUCUAUAACCUCAAGAUGGUAUAAAAGAAUCAACUAUCUGGGCCUUUCUUUGAGUUUUUAUAUUUUGUAUGACUUCCAUGCACAUGUGUACAUGUUAAUACAUUUUGUAUGCCUUUUUUUUCUAUUAAUCUUCCUUUUGUCCAUUUAUUUUCACUGAACCUUCAAAGGGUGAAGGGGAAGGUUUUCCUUGGCCCCUACAGUUUUUGGUACUGUGAGCAGGAUAAUCAGAACUAUCCUGCUGUUCUGAAAGCUGCAGUCAAGGUUACCCAGAACCUGACAAGCCAGCAGAAGGGCACAAAUUUCUUACCAGUGAGAUUCCUGGGUGUCUGUCUGUGAAAUCCAGUGAAGCAGAUGGUCCCAAGACCUCCAUUCCAGAGAGGGCCCUGCCCGAGACUCAGAAGGAAGGAAUGCUCCGCAGAAAGGCCAAGAAGAAUCUAACCAGACAGGCCUUGCUGCAUUUCCCCGCUCAGUCUAUUACCAUUAUAUUACACAUUUUUUGUCCAAUCAUAUUUCUACAUGGCUGUCCAUACAUUGUUAAACCUAGCAUAAAAAUGGACAACUUUCCCUGCAUCUUUAGGUCUUCAUUAGAAGGCUGCUGUGUCACAUAAAACUAUGACCCAAUAAAUUUAUAUGCCUUUUCUUCUAUUAACCUGCCUUUAGUCAGUGAUUUUUCAGUGAUCCUUCAGAGGUCAAAGGGGGGGGGGGGUUUUCCUUGGCCCUUACAAGAGCCC
rnacentral:lncRNA from 1 species